rnacentral:tRNA from 1 species
GGAGGGGUCGGAUAGCGGUUUAUUCCAGUGGUCUUGAAAACCACCAGGUCGAAAGGCCUCGGGAGUUCGAAUCUCCCCCCCUCCG